rnacentral:rRNA from 1 species
GACGAAUGCUGGCUGCGUGCUUAACACAUGCAAGUCGAACGGUGAAGGAGAGCUUGCUCUCCGGAUCAGUGGCGAACGGGUGAGUAACACGUGGGCAACCUGCCCCUCACUCUGGGAUAACGCCGGGAAACCGGCGCUAAUACCGGAUACGACCAGGCGCGACAUCUCGCCUGGUGGAAAGAAUUUCGGUGAGGGAUGGGCCCGCGGCCUAUCAGCUUGUUGGUGGGGUAACGGCCCACCAAGGCGACGACGGGUAGCCGGCCUGAGAGGGCGACCGGCCACACUGGGACUGAGACACGGCCCAGACUCCUACGGGAGGCAGCAGUGGGGAAUAUUGCGCAAUGGGCGAAAGCCUGACGCAGCGACGCAGCGUGAGGGACGACGGCCUUCGGGUUGUAAACCUCUUUCAGCGGGGACGAAGCGAAAGUGACGGUACCCGCAGAAGAAGCACCGGCUAACUACGUGCCAGCAGCCGCAGUAACAC